GACGAACGCUGGCGGCGUGCUUAACACAUGCAGGUCGAACGGAAAGGCCCUGCUUUUGUGGGGUGCUCGAGUGGCGAACGGGUGAGUAACACGUGAGUAACCUGCCCUUGACUUUGGGAUAACUUCAGGAAACUGGGGCUAAUACCGGAUAGGAGCUCCUGCUGCAUGGUGGGGGUUGGAAAGUUUCGGCGGUUGGGGAUGGGCUCGCGGCUUAUCAGCUUGUUGGUGGGGUAGUGGCUUACCAAGGCUUUGACGGGUAGCCGGCCUGAGAGGGUGACCGGCCACAUUGGGACUGAGAUACGGCCCAGACUCCUACGGGAGGCAGCAGUGGGGAAUAUUGCACAAUGGGCGGAAGCCUGAUGCAGCAACGCCGCGUGCGGGAUGACGGCCUUCGGGUUGUAAACCGCUUUCGCCUGUGACGAAGCGUGAGUGACGGUAAUGGGUAAAGAAGCACCGGCUAACUACGUG
rnacentral:rRNA from 1 species